UGGUCACGCCAUGGUACUGUUC
rnacentral:siRNA from 1 species